UGCAGUUGUGAUAAUUUUAGCAUUUCCCUGUUAGAACGAUUUAGAGACGGCGAUCUGCAGACUAAUAAUAUAUAAUCCUAGCAUCAAGGGGGGAAGAAGAAGAUUGAAGAGGAUAGAGACGGAUAGGGGCGGGCCCCACGGAGAAAGAUGGCGUUUUGCGCUUUCCAACGUUGAAUCGUUUGGAGUAAGAGGGUGAUCACUGAGUUGCUCUAUUCUAUAUUUCUAUUCCUUGCCUCUAGCUCUUCUUUCUCUUCUCUUUCUAUCAUUUCUUAGAGGUUCCCCGAAUCCAAAAGGGUGUUGCUUUGUUAGUAACUUUCUAAAGAGGUUCUUCCUCGGACGCUCCGAAUGGCUCCUGUCUCAGUGGCAUCUUCGGACUCCAUUAAACCUCGAGAUGUUUGUAUUGUUGGCGUUGCACGUACACCGAUAGGCGGCUUACUUGGUACUCUUUCAUCGUUGUCAGCUACCAAGCUUGGCUCUAUAGCUAUUGAAUGUGCUCUUAAGAGGGCAAAUGUUGAUCCUUCACUUGUGCAAGAGGUUUUCUUCGGGAAUGUCCUAAGUGCAAAUUUAGGCCAAGCUCCUGCUAGACAGGCUGCUUUGGGUGCAGGCAUUCCUACUUCUGUGAUCUGCACUACUAUUAACAAAGUUUGUUCGUCGGGGAUGAAAGCAACAAUGCUUGCAGCACAAUCUAUCCAGUUGGGUUUGAAUGAUGUUGUUGUGGCUGGUGGAAUGGAAAGCAUGUCUAAUGCGCCUAAGUAUCUAGCUGAAGCAAGAAAGGGAUCUCGAUUUGGACAUGAUACUAUUGUCGAUGGCAUGCUGAAAGAUGGACUGUGGGAUGUUUACAAUGACUUUGGAAUGGGAGCUUGCGGAGAAAUAUGUGCCAAUCAACAUACCAUAACAAGAGAAGAGCAGGAUAAUUAUGCUAUUAGGAGCUUUGAACGAGGAAUUUCUGCACAGAAUGGAGGUCACUUUGCAUGGGAAAUAGUUCCAGUUGAAAUUUCUGGGGGAAGAGGGAAGCCACCCAUAAUUGUUGACAAGGAUGAAGGUUUAGGAAAGUUUGAUGCUGCAAAGUUGAGAAAGCUGAGACCAAGUUUCAAGGAAGAUGGUGGUUCUAUUACUGCUGGCAAUGCUUCUAGCAUAAGUGAUGGUGCAGCAGCAUUAGUGCUGGUGAGUGGGGAGAAGGCACUUCAACUAGGGUUGCAAGUGAUUGCAAAGAUCAAAGGAUUUGCUGAUGCAGCUCAGGCACCUGAAUUAUUCCCAACUGCCCCGGCCCUUGCAAUACCAAAAGCUAUUUCAAAUGCUGGUUUGGAGGCUUCUCAAAUUGAUUACUUUGAAAUAAAUGAAGCUUUUUCUGUUGUGGCACUUGCCAAUCAAAAGCUGCUUAGUCUUAAUCCUGAUAAAGUUAAUGCGCAUGGUGGAGCUGUAUCAUUGGGACACCCGUUGGGAUGCAGUGGAGCUCGUAUAUUGGUCACUUUGUUAGGGGUGUUGAGACACAACAAUGGGAAGUAUGGAGUUGGUGGCAUCUGCAAUGGGGGAGGAGGGGCAUCUGCCCUUGUUCUUGAGCUCAUGUAAGCCAUUUACAUUUGGUAAGGCAUAUGCUCAAUCUAAUACUUCAGAAUCUGUGGCCCUGUGCCAGUUACACGGGUGGCACAUUCUAGGUUAUGAUAUUCAUUUGUUCUCUCAAAUUAUCACAUAUUAAUGAUAUUUUUCCUUUUUCCUAUCUCAACUUUUCUUCUUGAAUAACAAAGUAAAUAGAUGCUGUAUCAACUCUUUUUAAGAAAUAAAAGGUUAUGUUGUUUCCUA